rnacentral:lncRNA from 1 species
UAGUUUAACAAACAAGCUUUUUUUUGCUGCUUUUAAGUGUUAAGUAAUGUAUACAACUGAAUUUACUUUCUUACCACUGAACUUACUAUUGUUCCAAUAGGGUGACAGAGGUCCACCGGGUUUGCCUGGGCUGGAUGGAUUUCAAGGUCGACCGGGUCCUAAAGGUUAUCCAGGGCCACUCGGACUGCCAGGAGAACAAGGUGUACCAGGACUUCCUGGGGAAGCUGGGGCUGCAGGUUACCCUGGCAGGCAGGUGCAGUGAAAAAUACAAAAAUAUGCUUUCAGUUCCUUUAUCGAUCCUCUUAGAUUCUUCAUUGCUCUGUUAAGAAUUCACAGCAUCAUUAAUGAUAACUGCA